rnacentral:rRNA from 1 species
UACGUAGGGGGCAAGCGUUGUCCGGAAUCAUUGGGCGUAAAGCGCGUGUAGGCGGGUCGGUAAGUCCGCUCUGAAAGCCCGGGGCUCAACCCCGGGAGGCGGGUGGAUACUGUCGACCUCGAGUCCGGAAGAGGCGAGUGGAAUUCCUGGUGUAGCGGUGAAAUGCGCAGAUAUCAGGAGGAACACCAAUGGCGAAGGCAGCUCGCUGGGACGGUACUGACGCUGAGACGCGAAAGCGUGGGUAGCAAACAGG